rnacentral:rRNA from 1 species
UACGUAGGGUGCGAGCGUUAAUCGGAAUUACUGGGCGUAAAGCGUGCGCAGGCGGUUUUAUAAGCCAGAUGUGAAAGCCCCGGGCUCAACCUGGGAAUGGCAUUUGGGACUGUAAGGCUGGAGUAUGGCAGAGGAGACUAGAAUUCCUGGUGUAGCAGUGAAAUGCGUAGAUAUCAGGAGGAAUACCGAUGGCGAAGGGCAGGUCUCUGGGCCAAUACUGACGUCGAUGCACG